UGGCUCAGGAUGAACGCUAGCGGGAGGCCUAACACAUGCAAGCCGAGCGGUAGAAGAUCUUCGGAUCUUUGAGAGCGGCGUACGGGUGCGGAACACGUGUGCAACCUACCUUUAUCAGGGGGAUAGCCUUUCGAAAGGAAGAUUAAUACCCCAUAAUAUAAUGAUUGGCAUCAAUUAUUAUUGAAAACUCCGGUGGAUAGAGAUGGGCACGCGCAAGAUUAGAUAGUUGGUAGGGUAACGGCCUACCAAGUCAGUGAUCUUUAGGGGGCCUGAGAGGGUGAUCCCCCACACUGGUACUGAGACACGGACCAGACUCCUACGGGAGGCAGCAGUGAGGAAUAUUGGACAAUGGGUGAGAGCCUGAUCCAGCCAUCCCGCGUGAAGGACGACGGCCCUAUGGGUUGUAAACUUCUUUUGUAUAGGGAUAAACCUUUCCACGUGUGGAAAGCUGAAGGUACUAUACGAAUAAGCACCGGCUAACUCCGUGCCAGCAGCCGCGGUAAU
rnacentral:rRNA from 1 species